UACGAGAGGCCCAAACGUUAUUCGGAAUUACUGGGCUUAAAGAGUUCGUAGGCGGCGCAGAAAGUAGGGUGUGAAAGCCCUCGGCUCAACCGAGGAAUUGCGCUCUAAACUACUGUGCUUGAGGAAGCUAGAGGUGAGUGGAACUGAUGGUGGAGCGGUGAAAUGCGUUGAUAUCAUCAGGAACACCGGAGGCGAAGGCGGCUCACUGGGGCUUUUCUGACGCUGAGGAACGAAAGCCAGGGGAGCGAACGGG
rnacentral:rRNA from 1 species